rnacentral:rRNA from 1 species
UGUGUAGGCGGUUUUCUAAGUCUGGUGUGAAAUCUCCCGGCUCAACUGGGAGGGUGCGCCGAAAACUGGAAGGCUAGAGUGCGGGAUGGGUAAGUGGAAUUCCUGGUGUAGCGGUGAAAUGCGUAGAUACCAGGAGGAACACCUGUGGUGUAGACGGCUUACUGGACCGCAACUGACGCUGAGACACGAAAGCGUGGGUAGCAAACA